CCAGCCAUGGUACACACUUUUCUGUGGACUUUCCUGUGCUUCAAAUACAUCUAUAAUGAGGGACACCAGAUGUGAGGAUGGAACAGACCUCUAAAGGACAAAAUGUUACAUCUGGGAGCAGGGCCACUGAAACCUGUUUCCAUAAAAAAAAAAAAAAAAAAAAAAAAAAAAAAAGCUUAUGUUUGGAUUAGACCAAAUGUGGAUCAAUUAAACUACAAAUUAAAGAGCUUUUGAAUAUCCAUGAAUUACAUUCUUGAUACAGAGUCUUCUUAUCAUGACCACAGGAUGCCUUUUCUGACCCAAAGUGGGGACAACCAUGCAUGAGAUCACUCCAGAAUUAUCUUGGGAACGGAGUUCCUGCCAUCUCCUAAAGCUCCCCAGCCUGCUUCUCACCCAGUCAGUCUGAGGAUUUGAAUGACAUUGAAGCCUUCAGCACUCCCUACCUGCAAUGGCUUGUCUGCAAACAUUUGCCAACUGGCUGAAUUUUUCCUUAGCCUCCAGUGCUGUGUGGACUCCUCAAUUGAUAAUUCAGUGAGAUGGCAGAUUUCCUCAGAAGCAGAAGAAACCAAGAGUUGUACCACCAUAUCAAAGAUCUUCAACCAACAGCAGGGCCAAAGGCCAAGCUUGGAUUGAAAUGGCAAAACUGACUGCCUAAGUCUUUAUAUCAUAAAGGGCAGUGGUUGGCUUCGA
rnacentral:lncRNA from 1 species